rnacentral:lncRNA from 1 species
CUGACAUCGGUCAGGAAUAACUGUUUGCUAACAAGCUUAAUGUGUGUAGCUGGACUUGCACAGUUUUCAGGAUUGCUCUUGUUACUGCCACAAUCAAACCUUGUCAAAUAUCACAUGCCCUCAAAUGAAGCAUUUGCAACUUCAAGGAGUUUACACAAUGGAAAACUUCACCCAUGCUGGCAGGAAAUGUACCCGGCCUCUGAUGACUGUCACGGUGCUUUUUUGCUUCUCUGCUCUCCAGAGAAGGGACACGGGCUGUUGCUCCAUCCCUUGACUUUAACCACCGAGUUGGGAAUGCUUCACUCUGCUUCAUUUCAUCAGCCCGUAAGUCCUGCUUGGGUAUACACAGUGUCAUUUAUCUUAUUUUCUAGCCUUUUCAUUGAAAAUACAUCUGUUUUUAAAUCUUAAGUAAUGCUCUCGAGUCUGCACUCCAAUGGAUUAGGCUGAAUGUUACCACCGUGCUUCCAGUGCGUUGGCUUCGCAGUUCCCCGUUUUGGUGCUGUUCCCCGCCACGCACACGGUGUUGGGCCCACUCCUGUCCCCCUCUAUUGUCCUGUACGGCGUCUGGGUUUGAAUGCAGGAAGAGUGGGAGGGGAACUUUAGGGAUUGGAGAUGCUAUCUGUGUACGAGCAUGCAUGUGUGUGUUCUGGGGGUGGUGCUGAGCAGUUGUGGUCAGGCUGAAAUUACCAGCACGUUCGCUAAGGACAGGAAAUGAUGCUAAGGCUCUGAUAGAGUUGCCUUAUUGCAACGCUGUGUGUGUGGCUCACUCAUUUGCUUUCGCAAAAGUAAGUAUGCGGUAUUAUAUACAAAACCUCCUUUUUCUGGUAGCUGUGUGUAUGUCGUCUUACAGAAUUGGGUCUAGUUAAAAUAGCUUCUAUUAUAAACCAAUGCGUGUAUGUCUAAUAGGCGUGUAUCUAAUAUUUCCUUCAUUAGUCACAUUCUGUUGGUUUUAUUUCAUGCUGUGUAGAAAUUAGGGUGAAUUGUGACAUUGUGGCAGUCUUGGAUCAUAUGGUUUCUAAUUGUAAGAAUGAGUUUUCAGUUGCUA